CUGGGGCCUUGGCCUUGGAUUGUAGCCUCUAGACAUAGUGCCAACGGAGGCGCAGGUGCAAGCCUCUUGGAAAAGAGCAUCAAUGUGGGUGAGAAUCCUGUGUUUCACUUGCAGUCCACCGUGCACGGCACAUGUUCUCAGAGUCGCGUUCCUCGGAAUUGGAGCGUAAAGUGGGUGGUAAAUUUCAUCUAAAGCUAAAUAUAGGCUUGAGACCGAUAGCAAACAAGUACCAUGAGGGAAAGAUGAAAAGGACUUUGAAAAGAGAGUUAAAAGUGCUUGAAAUCGCUGAAAGGGAAGCGAAUGGAACCAGUCUUCUGGCUGAGAUUGCUGCAUGCUACUGUGAUGCCUGGCUGCUUCAACGCAAGUGUUGUAGUUAGAGUUGAUCAGCUGCGUGUGGUGUUUCUCAGCUUGUUAGUCAACCUCUGUUUGCGCUUGGGGAUAGCCUCAGGUACACGUCGCUUCUCUGCGGAGUUGCUCCUGUGCUUGUAGGGACUCAGGUGCAUACUUUUGGUGACAAAAUGGUUCUCUUCGACCCGUCUUGAAACACGGACCAAGGAGUCUAGCACAUGUGCAAGUUCACAGGUGGCAAGCCUGCUUGCGCAAUGAAGGUGACUGCUGGGAUAUUUGCACCAGCAACCGACCAAUCAAUUGAGAGAAGUUUGAGUAUGAGCAUAUGUGUUAGGA
rnacentral:rRNA from 1 species